GAUGAACGCUUGCGGGAGGCCUAACACAUGCAAGCCGAGCGGUAUUGUUUCUUCGGAAAUGAGAGAGCGGCGUACGGGUGCGGAACACGUGUGCAACCUGCCUUUAUCUGGGGGAUAGCCUUUCGAAAGGAAGAUUAAUACUCCAUAAUAUAUUGAACGGCAUCGUUUAAUAUUGAAAGCUCCGGCGGAUAGAGAUGGGCACGCGCAAGAUUAGCUAGUUGGUGAGGUAACGGCUCACCAAGGCGAUGAUCUUUAGGGGGCCUGAGAGGGUGAUCCCCCACACUGGUACUGAGACACGGACCAGACUCCUACGGGAGGCAGCAGUGAGGAAUAUUGGUCAAUGGGUGCAAGCCUGAACCAGCCAUCCCGCGUGAAGGACGACUGCCCUAUGGGUUGUAAACUUCUUUUGUAUAGGGAUAAACCUACCCUCGUGAGGGUAGCUGAAGGUACUAUACGAAUAAGCACCGGCUAACUCCGUGCCAGCAGCCGCGGUAAUACGGAGGGUGCAAGCGUUAUCCGGAUUUAUUGGGUUUAAAGGGUCCGUAGGCGGACUUAUAAGUCAGUGGUGAAAGCCUGUCGCUUAACGAUAGAACUGCCAUUGAUACUGUAAGUCUUGAGUAUAUUUGAGGUAGCUGGAAUAAGUAGUGUAGCGGUGAAAUGCAUAGAUAUUACUUAGAACACCAAUUGCGAAGGCAGGUUACCAAGAUAUAACUGACGCUGAGGGACGAAAGCGUGGGGAGCGAACAGGAUUAGAUACCCUGGUAGUCCACGCCGUAAACGAUGCUAACUCGUUUUUGGGCUUUAGGGUUCAGAGACCAAGCGAAAGUGAUAAGUUAGCCACCUGGGGAGUACGCUCGCAAGAGUGAAUCUCAAAGGAAUUGACGGGGGCCCGCACAAGCGGUGGAUUAUGUGGUUUAAUUCGAUGAUACGCGAGGAACCUUACCAAGACUUAAAUGGGAAUUGACAGCUUUAGAAAUAGAGCUUUCUUCGGACAAUUUUCAAGGUGCUGCAUGGUUGUCGUCAGCUCGUGCCGUGAGGUGUUAGGUUAAGUCCUGCAACGAGCGCAACCCCUGUCACUAGUUGCCAUCAUUCAGUUGGGGACUCUAGUGAGACUGCCUACGCAAGUAGAGAGGAAGGUGGGGAUGACGUCAAAUCAUCACGGCCCUUACGUCUUGGGCCACACACGUAAUACAAUGGCCGGUACAGAGGGCAGCUACACAGCGAUGUGAUGCAAAUCUCGAAAGCCGGUCUCAGUUCGGAUUGGAGUCUGCAACUCGACUCUAUGAAGCUGGAAUCGCUAGUAAUCGCGCAUCAGCCAUGGCGCGGUGAAUACGUUCCCGGGCCU
rnacentral:rRNA from 1 species